CCAAUCAGCAGGGGUAGGAGGGAAGCCAGCCUCUGACUCUCCUCCCAGUGUUCUCACCUCUCCAGCAAGCUAGCAGUGCUUCAGUGUGGUUAGAAGUGUCUUGUUGAGGACAAAGAAGACCAAACACAUGACAAUAGUUUACCUCUGUGCACUGGCGAGGAGCCAUGAAGCACAGCAUCCAAAGAUGGAAGAAGCCAGACUGGCACGUGGGCUGGCUGGAAAGGAAAAGAGGAGCCAGACAUGGGGCUACAUUCCAAGACCCUCAGUGGAUGCCUGAACCUGGAGUACUACUGACCCUCCGUAUUCAUCUUUUUCCACUUGAGAA